rnacentral:rRNA from 1 species
GACGAACGCUGGCGGCGUGCUUAACACAUGCAAGUCGAACGGAGUGGCGAACGGGUGAGUAACACGUGGGUGAUCUGCCUUGCUCUUCGGGAUAAGCUUGGGGAACUGGGUCUAAUACCGGAUAGUGCAAGAUGAGCUCGCGGCCUAUCAGCUCGUGGGGGGGGGAAUGGCCGACCAAGGCGUCACCGGGUAGCCGGCCUGAGAGGGUGUACGGCCACAAUGGGACUGAGAUACGGCCCAGACUCGAACGGGGGGCAGCGGUGGGGAGUCUUGCACAAUGGGCGGAAGCCUGAGGCAGCGACGCCGCGUGGGGGAUGAAGGCCUUCGGGUUGGAAACGCCUUUCGACAGGGACGCGGUACCUGUAUAAGAAGCACCGGCUAACUACGUGCCAGCAGCCGCGGUAAUAC